UACAGAGACUGCGAGCGUUAUUCGGAUUCACUGGGCGUAAAGCGUGCGCAGGCGGUUUUGUAAGCCAGAUGUGAAAGCCCCGGGCUCAACCUGGGAAUGGCAUUUGGGACUGCAAGGCUUGAGUGCGGCAGAGGAGACUGGAAUUCCUGGUGUAGCAGUGAAAUGCGUAGAUAUCAGGAGGAAUACCGAUGGCGAAGGCAGGUCUCUGGGCUGACACUGACGCUCAUGCACGAAAGCGUGGGGAGCAAACAGG
rnacentral:rRNA from 1 species